rnacentral:rRNA from 1 species
UGAGGAAUCUUGCACAAUGGGGGCAACCCUGAUGCAGCGACGCCGCGUGAGCGAUGAAGCCCUUCGGGGCGUAAAGCUCUUUCGACCGGAACGAUAAUGACGGUACCGGGAGAAGAAGCUGCGGCUAACUACGUGCCAGCAGCCGCGGUAAUACGUAGGCAGCAAGCGUUGUUCGGAGUUACUGGGCGUAAAGAGUGCGUAGGCGGUUUUCUAAGUUCGGUGUGAAAUCUCCCGGCUUAACUGGGAGGGUGCGCCGAAGACUGGGAAGCUGGAGUGUGGGAAAGGCAGGCGGAAUUCCUGGUGUAGCGGUGAAAUGCGUAGAUAUCAGGAGGAACACCGGCGGUGUAGACGGCUUGCUAAACCAUAACUGACGCUGAGGCACGAAAGCGUGGGUAGCAAACA